AUACAGAGGGUGCGAGCGUUAAUCGGAAUUACUGGGCGUAAAGCGUGCGUAGGCGGUUUCGUAAGUCGGGUGUGAAAGCCCCGGGCUCAACCUGGGAAUUGCAUUCGAGACUGCGGAGCUGGAGUGCGGAAGAGGGAAGUGGAAUUUCCGGUGUAGCGGUGAAAUGCGUAGAUAUCGGAAGGAACAUCAGUGGCGAAAGCGACUUCCUGGUCCAGCACUGACGCUCAGGCACGAAAGCGUGGGGAGCAAACAGGAUUAGAUACCCUGGUAGUCCACGCCAUAAACGAUGAGAACUAGAUGUUGAGAGGGUAAGCCUCCCAGUGUCGAAGCUAACGCGAUAAGUUCUCCGCCUGGGGAGUACGGCCGCAAGGUUGAA
rnacentral:rRNA from 1 species